rnacentral:tRNA from 1 species
GGGCCAUUAGCUUAAUGGUAGAGCACCCGGUUUGCAUCCGGGAAAUGGGGGUUCGAUUCCCCCAUGGUCCACCA